rnacentral:lncRNA from 1 species
CGGAUCUUAAGCUCACCCCUUAUCCAAUUCAUCCGAGCUCGCUAAAGAUGGACUCGACGACGGUUCGGUCAUACAACUGUCGUCUAUACUUUUAGCGACGGACAACCCCUUAUCCAAUUCAUCCGAGCUCGCUAAAGAUGGACUCGACGACGGUUCGGUCAUACAACUGUCGUCUAUACUUUUAGCGACGGACAACAUGUCCGUCGCUAAAAGUAUAGACGACAGUUGUAUAACCGAAAAGUAUAGACGACAGUUGUAUAACCGAACCGUGGUAUGAGUGUGAAUGGGGAUAGAAGCAGUCCCAAAUUGAAGCUGAGGAAGAGUCCUCGUUGCAGGAGGUAGGGUAGAAAGUGGAUCCACUAAAAUAGUAGCAGGUGCGCUUACCUUUACUACUGGUGAUUUCUCUUGCUCAGAUCGCUUGAAGGCAGCUAAAAUCUCUGAUAAUUUUUUAGUCAAGUCUUCAUUUGAGUUGUGCAACUUCUGAUUCAGGCUUGUAACUUCUGAUUCUGUUCCUUAAGAGUGAUUUUGAGAUGUUUGUAGUAGCUCUUGAACCUGAUCCAAACGUCCCUCCAUCGCCUUGAGAUCCUUUUCAUGUUUCUGUAGGCUGAGCUUCGAUGUGGUCUCCGCCAUAGCUGGCCCAGGGUAAGCUUUGAUACCAAUUUGUUAUGUAGAUGCUAAUAAUGAAAAUAAAACAUAACAUAAAGGAAAACAUGAGAAAGAGCAAGGAAUUAACCGAUAAUGGAAAUUUGCAUAGAUUUCUAGAUAAACAUGAUUUCUACAAUAAUGAGCUAAAUAUAAGUCUCCUUUAUAAUAUUGACAAAAUACUAACAACUCCCUCCUAUAAUAAAUUGACAAGUGUCAUUGAAUCUAUACUCAUUUUAUGCAAGCUAAACGGUGUCGUUAGCAUAGUUUGAGC